rnacentral:rRNA from 1 species
CCUACGGGUGGCAGCAGUGAGGAAUAUUGGUCAAUGGGCGGAAGCCUGAACCAGCCAAGCCGCGUGAGGGAUGAAGGCCCUAUGGAUUGUAAACUUCUUUUGCCGGGGAGCAAAGUGCGGCACGUGAGCGUUAUGGCGCGGACCCGGAGAAAAAGCAUCGGCUAACUCCGGGCCAGCAGCCGCGGUAAUACGGAGGAUGCGAGCGUUAUCCGGAUUUAUUGGGUUAAAAGGGUGCGUAGGGGGAAGCUAAAGUCAGCGGGAAAAGCUCGGGGCUCAACCUGGGCGAGCCGUUGAAACUGGGUGACUUGAGUGGGCGAGAGGUAAGCGGAAUGCGUGGUGUAGCGGUGAAAUGCAUAGAUAUCACGCAGAACUCCGAUUGCGAAGGCAGCUUACCGGAGUGCAACUGACGCUGAGGCACGAAGGCGUGGGUAUCGAACAGGAUUAGAUACCCGAGUAGUC